UACGAAGGGGGCUAGCGUUGCUCGGAAUCACUGGGCGUAAAGCGCACGUAGGCGGACUCUUAAGUCGGUGGUGAAAUCCUGGAGCUCAACUCCAGAACUGCCUUUGAUACUGAAGAUCUUGAGUCCGGGAGAGGUGAGUGGAACUGCGAGUGUAGAGGUGAAAAUUCGUAGAUAUUCGCAAGAACACCAGUGGCGAAGGCGGCUCACUGGCCCGUUACUGACGCUGAGGCACGAAAGCGUGGGGAGCAAACAGGG
rnacentral:rRNA from 1 species